GCGAGGGGCGGGGUCCGGGGCGAGGAGAGGUGGACGCCCUGGGCACGCUUCAGGGGGCGGGAAACUGAGGCACGGAGCGCGUCCUGGGGCGCGCCUGGGAGGGGUGUAGUGCGCGCGGAACGUGCGGCGGCGCAGGCACGGCUGGGAGACAGGCCCGAGGCGCUGGCCGGGCCCGGCGGGGUCAAUCGCUGUUCUUUUAAUGUUGCCGGAAAAUGUACUGCUCUCCCUCCAACAGUGAAGGAAAUGCGACAGCGGAACGUCCUAGGGCCCCGGGGACUUGCUAGAGAGACUGCAGGUGGAAACAGACCAGGGCCAGGCCACCUGUAAGGAUGGACCUGUACCCACGCCCUGCGGCCGCCCCCUACCCGCGACCGCCAGCGCACGAGCCCGGCCCCCCACCUGCAGCGACCGGCCGGGAAGCCAGCGUGCCACAAGUCAGAGUUGCAGGAAGUCAGACCAGCAUCUCCAGCAACUGGUCCAGGAGGCCGCACAACCACCCCGUGACACUCAGCCCCAGAUGGCCAGAACGUGAUCAAUAACUGACAGCUUCCCCAAUUUCUGUCCUUCCUUCCAACUUGGGACCAACCAGAGAAAGCCAAAAUGCUCCCCUAACCAAUCGCGAGGACACCCCGCUUCCAGAUCCCCACCUCCAGCAUCCUCGGGACCCCAUCCGCCAUGGCCCCAUCCGGGCAACCCUGAGCCCCCGUUUCUUUCCGCUGAAGUCUCUGCUCCUCCGCCUACCUUUGGGUUUCUGCCAUCACAAGUGUCGACCCCGCCUGCUACAGUGCGCCCUGAGUAGCAGCCUCUGCUGUUUUCACCUGGGGGUCCUUGUUUCCAUUCUAGCCUGGUUUUCCCUCCCCACGUGGACCCCUCUCCAACUCCCAGCAAGUUCCAUCACUCAGAGGACCCCAUGCAAGGGAGGCCUGACUUCCUGCAGCAUCCGUGUAAACCCGCCUUUGAGAAGGUUAUCGUGUUGGGGGAGGGGGGCAGGUACAUCUGCCGGGGAAGCGCGAGGAGCCCCAGGUCAGAGCUGGAGGGGCAGGUGGGAAGGAAAACUCCGUGACUUGAAGAUCUGCUCCGCUUGGCCCAGCCGAGCUCAGGUGCCCCGCCCUGAGAGCACAGCACUGGUAUCGGGACAGUGGGCAGCACACUUGUUUGCUGCUGUAGCCCCUGAAAGAAUUUUGAAAACUACUCCUUCCACAUUUCAAGUAGACACCUAAGCUUCUCCUCGUAAAUGUAAACAGUUGCAAAGGAUGCUAUUUCUGGCAUACUCUUGUUACGGAACCAGGUUUGUUUUGCCCACCACCCGGUAGGUCAAUCACUAAAACGAGUUUACAGCAGAGAAGGGGUUUAUUCAUAAGGCAGCCAAGCAAGGAGUCUCAAAUCCUCCUCCCCGAAAAUAGGGAUUAGGGAUAUUUAGGGGCUGAAGGGCGGGCGGUCUGAAGUGUGGAGAUAGAUGAUUGGAAGGAUGAGAAGUGAGGUAAUCGAUGACCUGCGCAGGCGUAGUCAGACUCCACGCCUCUUCAUAGGACGCAUGUUCUCACAAUGGUGGCGUAGGCUGAUCUGAGAUUCGGCCCCCUGACGUCAAAGGGGCACCUAUCAGACAUUCUCUGGGGCCCAGUUGAUGAGUCAGUGGUCCUAAUUGGCUUGAACUGGACAAGGAGUCCACGCAGUUCCUGAAAAACAGCUUAAGCACCCGUUGCCGUGGGGACCCAAGCAUCAGAGAUGUCAUCUAUAGGGUGGGCUUUUUUUUUUUGAGGAAGACUGGCCCUGAGUUAACAUCCAUGCCCAUCUUUCUCUACUUUAAAUGUGGGACGCCUGCCACAGCAUGGCGUGCCAAGCGGUGCCAUGUCUGCACCCAGGAUCUGAACCGGCGAACCCCUGGCCACUGAAGCAGAAUGUGCGCACUUAACCGCUGCACCACCAGGCCGGCCCCAGGGUGGGCUUUAUAGGGCAUUCUCUGACUGCUUUUGCAAACGGACAACUGACUGAAUCUAGUUAAAGCAGGUUGGCUCCCGUUUCACUGUACGUAUUAUUUUAAUCAAACUUUUCAUAACGCUUUGAAAUGUAUACAAUGGCUGCUAAGUACCAAAGUAAUUUGAUAUUACCAUGACCCAAUUAAAAUAUACAUUCAUAAUUGUCCUCUUUAGCAGGAACUUUUGUAUCUUUCAAUUUUCUUCUUGAAACUGUAUGUCAAUUUUACUUUCUCCUUAUAAAUUUAUCGUAAGAUGAU